rnacentral:rRNA from 1 species
UACAGAGGUCUCAAGCGUUUGUUCGGAUUCAUUGGGCGUAAAGGGUGCGUAGGCGGCGCGGUAAGUCGGGUGUGAAAUCUUGGAGCUUAACUCCGAAACUGCAUUCGAUACUGCCGUGCUUGAGGACUGGAGAGGAGACUGGAAUUCACGGUGUAGCAGUGAAAUGCGUAGAUAUCGUGAGGAAGACCAGUGGCGAAGGCGGGGUCUCUGGACAGUUCCUGACGCUGAGGCGCGAAAGCUAGGGGAGCAAACGGG